UACGGAGGAUGCGAGCGUUAUCCGGAUUUAUUGGGUUUAAAGGGUGCGUAGGCGGACUGUCAAGUCAGCGGUAAAAUACGGGGGCUCAACCUCCGCCCGCCGUUGAAACUGACGGUCUUGAGUGGGCGGGAGGUAUGCGGAAUGCGUGGUGUAGCGGUGAAAUGCAUAGAUAUCACGCAGAACUCCGAUUGCGAAGGCAGCAUACCGGCGCCCUACUGACGCUGAGGCACGAAAGCGUGGGUAUCGAACAGG
rnacentral:rRNA from 1 species